rnacentral:rRNA from 1 species
UAAGUUACUGAUUGAUGCCAAACUCAAUUUGACGGAAGUUGGUAAUACUGUUCUGCUAGAGGGCAGAAGAGGUUGAUGGAAUUCUGUGAGGAGCGGUGAAAUGCGUUGAUCUGCAGAGGAACACCAAAAAAGGCGAAGGCAUUCAACUAUUCUGUUCCUGACAUUGAGGCAUGAAAGCGUGGGGAGCAAACCGGAUUAGAUACCCGGGUAGUCCACGCCCUAAACGAUGAGCAUUAGAUAUUAGACGUUAAGUUUAGUGUCGCCGCUAACGCUGUAAAUGCUCCGCCUGGGUACUACGGCCGCAAGGCUAAAACUCAAAGGAAUUGACGGGGACCCGCACAAGCGGUGGAGCAUGUGGUUCAAUUCGAUACGACGCGCAGAACCUUACCAAGGCUUGACAUGGAGGGCAAAGUUGAAGAAAUUCAACAGAGGUUAUCCCGACACAGGUGGUGCAUGGUCGUCGUCAGUUCGUGCUGUGAAGCGUAUGCUUAAGUGCUAUAACGAACGCAACCCUCAUAUUUAGUUGCUACCAUUCAGUUGAGAACUCUAAAUAGACUGCUAAGAAAAACUUAGAGGAAGGUGAGGAUGACGUCUGGUCGU